GACGAACGCUGGCGGCGUGCUUAACACAUGCAAGUCGAACGGAAAGGCCCUGCAUGCAGGGUACUCGAGUGGCGAACGGGUGAGUAACACGUGGGUGAUCUGCCCUGCACUUCGGGAUAAGCCUGGGAAACUGGGUCUAAUACCGGAUAGGAGCCAUUUUUAGUGUGAUGGUUGGAAAGUUUUUUCGGUGUAGGAUGAGCUCGCGGCCUAUCAGCUUGUUGGUGGGGUAAUGGCCUACCAAGGCGGCGACGGGUAGCCGGCCUGAGAGGGUGGACGGCCACAUUGGGACUGAGAUACGGCCCAGACUCCUACGGGAGGCAGCAGUGGGGAAUAUUGCACAAUGGGCGCAAGCCUGAUGCAGCGACGCCGCGUGGGGGAUGACGGCCUUCGGGUUGUAAACUCCGUUCGCUAGGGACGAAGCUUUUUGUGACGGUACCUAGAUAAGAAGCACCGGCUAACUACGUG
rnacentral:rRNA from 1 species